rnacentral:rRNA from 1 species
GAUGAACGCUGGCGGCGUGCCUAAUACAUGCAAGUCGAGCGAACAGACGAGGAGCUUGCUCCUCUGACGUUAGCGGCGGACGGGUGAGUAACACGUGGAUAACCUACCUAUAAGACUGGGAUAACUUCGGGAAACCGGAGCUAAUACCGGAUAAUAUAUUGAACCGCAUGGUUCAAUAGUGAAAGACGGUUUUGCUGUCACUUAUAGAUGGAUCCGCGCCGCAUUAGCUAGUUGGUAAGGUAACGGCUUACCAAGGCAACGAUGCGUAGCCGACCUGAGAGGGAGAUCGGCCACACUGGAACUGAGACACGGUCCAGACUCCUACGGGAGGCAGCAGUAGGGAAUCUUCCGCAAUGGGCGAAAGCCUGACGGAGCAACGCCGCGUGAGUGAUGAAGGUCUUCGGAUCGUAAAACUCUGUUAUUAGGGAAGAACAAAUGUGUAAGUAACUAUGCACGUCUUGACGGUACCUAAUCAGAAAGCCACGGCUAACUACGUG